rnacentral:tRNA from 8 species
UGGGGUGUCGCCAAGCGGUAAGGCAACGGACUCUGACUCCGUCAUUCGUUGGUUCGAAUCCAGCUACCCCAGCCA